rnacentral:rRNA from 1 species
UUGAACGCUGGCGGCAUGCUUUACACAUGCCAGUCGAACGGUAACAGGCCUUCGGGUGCUGACGAGUGGCGAACGGGUGAGUAAUGCAUCGGAACGUACCCAGAGGUGGGGGAUAACGCAGCGAAAGCUGUGCUAAUACCGCAUGUGAUCUGAGGAUGAAAGCGGGGGACCGAGCAGCAAUGUUUGGCCUCGCGCCUUUGGAGCGGCCGAUGUCGGAUUAGCUAGUUGGUGGGGUAAAGGCCUACCAAGGCGACGAUCCGUAGCUGGUCUGAGAGGACGACCAGCCACACUGGGACUGAGACACGGCCCAGACUCCUACGGGAGGCAGCAGUGGGGAAUUUUGGACAAUGGGCGCAAGCCUGAUCCAGCAAUGCCGCGUGCGGGAAGAAGGCCUUCGGGUUGUAAACCGCUUUCGGCAGGAACGAAACGGUGUCCGCUAAUACCGGGCGCUAAUGACGGUACCUGCAGAAUAAGCACCGGCUAACUACGUG